UUUUGUCUCUUUUUGCCUCGUAAAUCGUUCAUUCACUCCUUCAAACUAAUAUUCGGCACGUGCACGCAACAGUGUUCAUAAUACGCAAUCUUUUGAAUCGCAUCCGGUUUCCUAGUUCUCCCAACUAUAUCGUAAAAAUACUUUCUUCGCGUCAAAAACAAAGAUUCUCUUACCUGCAUAGUUUCUCAACAAAUACAAGAUAGACUUGGCAGAAUAACUUGGAUACGUUUCAUCGGGUGCUCGCAAUAUCAAACAGGUGUUAUGAUACUUGAAAAUACUUUAUAACGAAAAAGAAAAAUAGAGGUACUUUUUGUUUUACACAGUUGUUAACCCUUUCCACUCGAUCACAAAAAAGGAACCGUUUUAAACACGUUACGUAAUAAGUUAUGGAUUUGUUAGUCGAUCUUAAAACUAAAGCGUAUCGACCUCAAAGUGUAUAGGUUAGAAAAAAAUUGUGGAUGUUCUUUUAUAUCGAUCGUGAUUAAUCAAUUGUAUCGGAAAUAUGAAAGUCCAGAAAUUGUUAAGCUCAAAGUAAAUUGGUCAUUAUAAGAUCUAGUGAAUGAAAGAAAUUAUUAUGUUUAAAAAGAGAAGUAUACGCUAGAUGGGACUACUUAUUUCAAUGUCACCUUAUACAUGACGUAAUUCUGAUAGUUCAGCGUCGCUUUUUCGCAGCAAGACCUUCAAUCGGUAUUUCUGGAAAUAUUGGUCGAGGCCACGAAAUAUUUCCGGUCACUGCCAAGGACCGAAGGCCAUACUUUGAGUAGUUGCAAGUUCAUGAUAAUCGAUUUUGUUGGAACAGCAUCUGUUUGACAUCGACCUCGAGUAUAAUCGCAAUGAUCAAGUAUGUGUGUACGGUUAGAACUUAAGAAAUUCCUUCAUUACUAUACCAUACUUUUCACGAAUAUAAUACAUAAGAAGAACCAAAAAAUUAACCAAACGAAAUAAAACGAUUUAAGAAAGAACAGGUUAUACCGUAAACCGUAAUAAAUUUAAUUCCUAAUAACGUAUCCUCCAUUUAUUACAGACUUAACCUGUCGUACUGUAGAAACUAUUAAAAAAUAAACAUUCGAUCGAUAUCGUUUCAAAA